CGGAUUCUCAGCCUCUCCAGUGUGUUGCAGCCAUUGUUGGACUACUCGGACUCUAUCCUAUCCAGUCUAGCUGGACAGAAGGCAUCAAGGAAUUCUGCUGUCUUUGCCGGAGCAGUGGGAUUGGACCCUGGCUACUGGGCCCUGCUUUAUGUGGGUUCUGGGGCAGAUCUGCACACAAGCAUGGCAAGCACUUUGCACCUGGAGCCAUCUCGGCCCGUUCUUUCCCUCAUUACCCCUUUCUUCCUUUCUGGUUUAUUUAUUAAUUCCUCAAGUGAGCCCGAGUUCAUUAGAGCUUUCCUUUGCUUCUAAUACAGCAUUUUAAGACUCUUAAGUUUCCUUGAGGUCUGACUUGACCUGCCUCACACAACUUUUGAUAUUUCUUUUUCAUUAUUUCUUAGUUCUAAGAGUGUGCUUAUUCCUGUUAUGGUUUGGUUUAGCUUUUGUUUUUUUGAGACGGGCUCACGUGGCCCAGGCUGGUCUUGAACUCACUACAUAGCAAUGGUGACCUCGAACUCCUAACCUCCUGCUUGUUUCCCAACACCCAACUCCAUUACAACAUUUCAAAAGA